UACAGGGGGGGCAAGCGUUGUUCGGAAUUACUGGGCGUAAAGGGCCAGUAGGCGGCCAACUAAGUCACACGUGAAAUCCCCAGGCUUAACCUGGGAACUGCGUGUGAUACUGGAUGGCUUGAAUUCGGGAGAGGGAUGCAGAAUUCCAGGUGUAGCGGUGAAAUGCGUAGAUAUCUGGAGGAACACCGGUGGCGAAGGCGGCAUCCUGGACCGGUAUUGACGCUGAGGCGCGAAAGCUAGGGGAGCAAACGGG
rnacentral:rRNA from 1 species